CAACACGAAUUUAUCAUCUUAUGUUGUUUAGAAAUCUGAUGUGAGUCUCACGUCACUAAAAUCAAGGUAUCCAGAGGGAUGCGUUCCUUUCUGGAGGUUCCAGGGGAAAUCUGUUUCUGUGCAAUUUACAUAUUUAUAGAGGCCGUUGAGAUGCUUUGGCUCAUUGGCCUUACUCCAUGUUCACAUCUGCUAACUUUACAUAUCUCCAUCUUUUCUCCCUCCUAAUGUUGUCCUCUGACCAUACAGCUUGGAAACAGUUCCUGUGAUCACAAGGAAACACAAGAUAAUCUCCCCAUCUCAAGAUCCUUAACCUUAUUCACAUCUGCAAAGCUCCUUUUGUCAUGUAAGGUAACAUUUACAGGUUUUGGAGAUUAGGAUGUGAACAUCUUGGGAGGCUGUAUUCUGCCUAUGACUGUUUUUGUUCAGAAACAUUUUCCUGAACUUCAGGAAGAACUUACUCCAUUUUGCUUUAUGCUUACCUACUACUACAUUUGCAGUAAUUAUUAGGCUAUGUGGUCAUCUUGAGUCCUCCAGAGUGACCUACCCUCCUAUUUUGUUAUAUUCAGAGUCUUCCCUACACCACAGGAGUCCAGGUGGUCUUGAACCCAUAUGGAAACAGGUGAACAGAAGACUUUUCAUCCCAUUCCCUGGUCUUCUCCACCCAUGAAUGUCUGUGCCAAACUGUUUGAGAAGGGCUCUGUUCUGAAGCACUCCAAGAGGAAACAAAAUGGAACCACAAAGCUGAAUAGAGAGAUCUAUGGAAGACAGAGAACAACAGAAAUCUAUUUCUUUAUGCAUAAGUUAAAGCAGAAUAAAUAUAUCCAUUUUACUGAAGCUUGUCAAUACUUAGACCCUAACAUGAGUAAAGACUAA
rnacentral:lncRNA from 1 species